GCGCACGCGCAUUGCCGCUCGCCGCGCCGCCUAGUCGAGCUCGGCCCGGCUCCCGCCCAGGCGGCGGCAGACGCGACGCCCGGAGCGCCCGUCCUCAGCCCCUCGCCGCCCGGCAGGUUUGCAUUAGCUGACGGCGCUCCCCACCUGCGGCUUCUGCCUGGAGCUGUGAGCUCCCCGCUGUCCCCCGCCCGGUGGGCUUCAGAGCCAUGGCAACCGAGGAGAAGAAGCCGGAGACCGAGGCCGCCAGAGCGCAGCCCGCCCCGUCGGCGGCAGCCACGCAGAGCAAGCCCACACCUGUUAAACCCAACUACGCGCUGAAGUUCACCCUGGCCGGCCACACGAAAGCUGUGUCCUCGGUGAAGUUCAGCCCGAACGGGGAGUGGCUGGCGAGUUCGUCUGCAGAUAAACUCAUUAAGAUUUGGGGAGCUUACGACGGAAAAUUUGAGAAAACCAUAUCUGGUCACAAGCUGGGAAUAUCAGACGUGGCCUGGUCGUCAGACUCUAACCUUCUCGUUUCUGCCUCAGAUGACAAGACCCUAAAGAUAUGGGACGUGAGCUCGGGGAAGUGUCUGAAGACCCUCAAGGGACACAGUAAUUACGUCUUCUGCUGUAACUUCAACCCCCAGUCCAACCUCAUCGUCUCGGGCUCCUUCGACGAGAGCGUGAGGAUUUGGGACGUGAAGACAGGGAAGUGCCUCAAGACGCUGCCCGCGCACUCGGAUCCCGUCUCAGCCGUUCACUUUAACCGGGACGGCUCCCUGAUCGUGUCGAGCAGCUACGACGGCCUCUGCCGGAUCUGGGACACCGCCUCGGGCCAGUGCCUGAAGACGCUGAUCGGUGAGUGCUGCGGCCCGGGGACCCGGGCUCAGCCGUGGCGGCCCUCCCCGCGCCCGGCCCUCCGUCCUCAGAGGCUUUCCCUCCGGGCGGGGCCUCCUCUCCUGACCGCCUCCACCUCCUCCAGCCCCUUCCUGAGGAACCACCGUCCAGCCUGCUUGGGGCUGCCUGGCGGGUGGGGGUCCUCUGGGGGACCCGUGAGUCCCUGGACGCUGCUCAGGUCACUCCCUGAGCAGGUGGGGUUGAGCCUGGGCCCUCAGCGAGCCCCAUCUGCCCGGAGAGCCUCGGGUGGGUGGGCCUGGGGGAGAGGCCCCAAGGCCUCCACAGGCUGUGCCUCGAGUAAGGGGCGGAAUGGAGCCACAAGAGCGCAGCCUGGGUGGCAGGUGCUCUGUGUGGCCCCAAGGUGGCCAAUGCGCCCCUGUGGGCCUCGGGCCUGGGAAGGUGACGCAGGAACCCUGGGGGGGCGAAUCGGGUGGGUGUCGCUGUUGGAGGCCUCACCUGAGUCAGCCUGGAAGGUCUCUGUGGCCUCAGGUGGAUCCUAGAGCAGGUAGGCUGGUGUGAGGGCAGGGGCGCCGCCUGAGCCCCCAAAGUGCUGCAGGCCAGGUGGCUUAAACAGCAGAAACCUGUCCCCAUGUCCUGGAGGCCAGAGGUCCAGGGUCCAGGUGUGGGCAGGGCUGGCUUCUCUUGCAGCCCCUCCUUCUCUGAGUGUCCUUACACUGCUGGCCUCUGCGUGUGCCCCGCUGGGCCGCGUGUCCUCCUCCUGUAGGGACGGCAGUCACCUGGCCUCUGGUCACCCUGACUGCCUCGUUGACGCCUCCUUCUUGGAGGCCUGUCUCCAGGUGGCCCUGCGUCUGAGGUGCUGGGUUAGGGCUUCAGCGUGAGAAUUCCGGGAGGGACCGUUGAGACUAGACCUUGGCCUCUGCCGUUUUCCUGCUUCUUCUGACGUGCAGUCCUCCUCUGACUGUGACAUCGCCCUCAUCUGUCACCACGCCCAUCCCAUCCCCAGAAGCAGGGUGUAGCCACGUGCGCCCAGCGGGGCAGCGUCCCUGUGCAGCCCUGCUUGGCCCAGGCUGUUGGGUUACCUGGCAAAGCCCCUGUGCAACCCCACAGCCAGGCAGGAUGCUGAGGCCUGGAGAUGUGGAGUCCUGGCUGGGAGGUGGGGACGGCAGGGAGUGGUUCCUGGCCCCACUUCUAACCUCAGGUCCAGGGAAUUGGGCGCCUGGGGCUUGGCAGGACAGCCCUGUGUUGCCUUGCUGGCAGUGCUCACCCUGACCUCUGGGCACCGCCUCCCUCAUCCAUCCUGAGUGGCCCCUGUGGCCCAGGGGUGGCCCUCAUGUGUCUUCUCAUGUGCCUUUGCGGUGUCUGGGACCCGUCAGGUGCUCCUGGUGCCCCGAGGUGGUAAUGCGGUGCCUGCCCAGUGCCCCGGUGCUGGGGACACAGCCCCGCCGGCUCCCGCUGCCCGGUGCCACCCCGGCUGCCCUCCUAUUCAGGCAGAUGGGGGGCGGGGGCGUCCUGCAGCCAGAGCACUUUCUGAAUGUGCCGCCUCUUUUCCAGCUGCAUCCUCAGGGCCCGGGGUGCACCCUGGACCCCAAGGGUCAGAACCAGGGUGUGGGUGUAACAGCAAAGGGUGACUUCUAGGGCGACUUCAUGCCUCUUCUACUCUGACCACGGAGCUGGCAGGUGCCUGAGAGGGUUCACCCGGGCUGCCGCCUUCCCAGUGGGCUGCGAUUUGCAAGCUCCCUCCUGGGGGUUGAUCCCGGGGCCUCUCCUGUACCCUGUGGAAGAGGCCUGGCUACCCGAGAGCCCCUGGCCACCAGGCCUUUGCACCCGAAGCCCUGUGUCAUGGGGUCACUGGGAGCCUGGCUCACGCUGGCACGAACAGUGGGUGAGGGAGGGUGGCCGGCUCUCGGGGAUCCCCCUGUUGGCACAGGUGGCAGUGGCUGCACUGGGCGACACGUGGUAGGGGAGCGCCACCCCACCCGAGAGCCAGUGCCCGGCGUGGCAGCUGUCUCUGUGCUCCAUGCAGAUGACGACAACCCGCCCGUGUCCUUCGUGAAGUUCUCUCCGAACGGCAAGUACAUCCUGGCCGCGACCUUGGACAAGUAAGCCCUCUGUCCCCGUGCGGGCGGGUUACCAGGGCCAUCGCCCCAGGGCCAGGAUCCCAGAAAGACACCCGCUCCAGUGCCCGCACGGAGCCUGCUGGGUGCAGGCUGCUGAUGUAGGCACCCUGCUGGGAUGGUGGGCAUGGCGGCCUCCCGGUGCUGCCCGCUCUGCCCGGGCGCCCUGCUCCUAACACGCUUCGGGUGGGUGUCCCGGCCGUCCACUGCCCUCCUGGAGGCGGCUGGCGCUCGGCCUCCCCGGGCACUGUGGGAGCCCUCGGGUGGGCUCACAGGGUCGGCCCCCACAGGAGGAGGAAGGACUGUCCGCCGAGGUCUGUUCUGGACGUGUCCGCAAUGGGGCUUCCUGAGCCCUUUUCUCGCAGGGACGUGGACCCCUUCCCGGCUCGGGGAACGCUUAGUAGCUUCCUUUAACCAAGCCUCUUGGGGAGUUAACGUGUGGCUCGACAGGUUAAGGACUUGGCACUGCAGUAGCUCAGGUUCGAUCCCUGGCCCAGGAAUUUGCACACGCCUCGGCCGAGGCCAAGUGAAAAACAGUGUCUUGGGGUUCCCGCGCUCUGCUCCCAGGUGUCCUUGCUCUGUGGACCCUGGGCUGGGCGCGGGCACCGGAGAGGGUGGGUCCUCGGGGGCUCGGCUGACACGCCCUCUCCCCGCAGCACGCUGAAGCUCUGGGACUACAGCAAAGGGAAGUGUCUGAAGACGUACACCGGCCACAAGAAUGAGAAGUACUGCAUAUUCGCGAAUUUCUCUGUCACUGGCGGGAAGGUGAGUCAUGUCCCUGCUGGGGGUUCUCCCCGGCCCCUCUGGGGCGCUUUUUAACCCAGUGCAGCCCCGCUGGUGGCAUCCUCAGCGGGCCUUCCCAUUGCGUCCUCUUCAGGGCCACAGGCUCCUUUGCGAUGCCGAGGGUGUCAGCACCUUCUGGGAGUCAGGGACCCUGGCAGGCUCUGGCGUCUGGUCCCCGGGGCUCCCCGCCUCUCAGGCUCAGGCUGCGGGGGAGAUGGUGACGGCAGCCCUGAUUGGAGCAAACAGUUUAUGUCCUAGAAGUGGCGGGUGCUGGUGCGGCAUCGGGACAGGAGAUGGGCGGAGACCCACACGGGGAGGGGUGCUGGUACUGCUGGUCCCCAGGCACGCGCCUGACACCCUCCCGCCCCGUGACAGUGGAUCGUGUCGGGCUCGGAGGACAACUUGGUUUACAUCUGGAACCUGCAGACGAAAGAGAUUGUGCAGAAGCUGCAGGGCCACACGGACGUGGUCAUCUCGACGGCCUGCCACCCCACAGAGAACAUCAUCGCCUCGGCCGCGCUGGAGAACGACAAGACCAUCAAGCUCUGGAAGAGCGACUGCUAGGCCCGCGGGCGCGGGGCUGUCGGGACGCCCAGCCGGGCUGGCGAGAGCUCGGUGCUCGAGGGGCUCCCUGGUCCAGGCCUGGGGACUGGAGGCGCCUGGGCCUGCGCCGCCUCCGAGGACGGCUUGGCCGAGGGCCGUGUCCUCCGCAGAGGUUCUCGGAGCUGCCGGUGGCGAUUCUUGCCAAUGCCUGUCUUGUUGGCUGGGGAAGAGUUAGAGUCUGUAUUGUGUUCGGAGGCCACAGAAAUUUCUAAUUUUUUAUUACAAAAGGUGAAGUUCAAUUUAUCACGAGUUGUGUUUUUUUCCAGUAACUGUUCUGUGCAUUUUAUCACCCAGUGCAAGUGCUGGACCAGUCGCCACCACGGUGUGUGGGCGCCAGCCUCGCCCACCCGGCCUCAGAGGGGCCCCCUCGUGGGUCCAGUGACCUCUCUGGGGACCCCCACCCGGUGUUGGUCCUGCCCGCGCUCGAAAGCAGCGUGUCUGCAGCGUGUCUGCCCACGUGCCUUUGGCAUCGGGGCCGUUGUCCCCGUGCUGCCAGCGUGGGGGUCACCCUGGGCGCUUCUGUUUGUCCCUCUGGUGGUCACACGCAGGCAGCGCCCCAGCGGUGAUAAAGGUGGCAGCCUGGGCGAGUGGCCGCCGGGUUCUCACACAGAGCUUUGCUCGCUCUUUUGUGGAAAGCCUCGCGGUCGGCAGGAGGUUGAGAGGACGCCUCUCAAAAGACAGGUCCGAGGGAUGCGCCACUCCUUGUCCACGCGGGCUCGAGGGCCCCUGCAGGCUGGUGGCCUGUGGAUGUGGGGGCGCAGGACGGAGGGGGCCCCGUGGCCGCUGUGGGUGCGGGUGAGGGUGGAGGAGGCUGUGACCUGAGGGCGCAGUGGUGUCCACGCCUGCCGCCCACGCCAGGACGGGCUCCCCGCGGGGGCCUGGCGUCAGCCACCCACACAGUGGGCGCUGCCCCUAGCAGAGGGAGCGAGGGCGCUGGAGGCUUCUGGACGGACGGCAGAGCAGGGCCGUGGGGGACCCCUCUCUGCAGUGAGGCCACCCCGUAGUCCCAGGCCCACCUGCGGCUCCAAGACCGUAGCGGUGGAGGCUGCUUCGUAAGGAGCAUCCCCUGCCUGUGGCCGGGAGUCUGGCCCGUGCUCAGGCUCGGGGCUCAUCUCCCCUGGGGCCACUCCUGGGGCCCGAGUGCCUGGGUCCUGGCUCCAUCGCGCUGAGUGACAGUGUGCAGGUGGGGGCGUGAGGGCUGCUGUCACACAGAACAUGGGGAAACAAGCCACUUCCCGCCCUGCCCUUCAGAAGUAGGCGGACAGCGGGCUGGCUCUAGGGACGAAUAGCUCGGGUGAAAGGACACUGCAUUCCCCGGGCGACAGCCUGGGAGGCGCUGAGCUCCCGCGGCCGUGGUGUGGCCUCAGAUUUCCUUUGGUUCUGUUGGUUCUGGCGUUGGGCGCAGCCCGGGAGGAGGGCGUAUGUGCAGGGCCCUGUGUCCUGGAAUAUAGUUUAUUUUUUCUACAUUUGAAUUCUCUGUUGUAGAUUUAUGUAAAAAUACAUUCUCUUUUUGAAAAUAAA